GAAGUCGGAAUUGCUGUAAUGGCAGGUCAGCAUACUGCCGUGAAUACGUUCCCGGGCCUUGUACACACCGCCCGUCACACCAUGAGAGUUGGGAAUACCCGAAGCCUGUGAGCUAACUUUUAGAGGCAGCAGUCGAAGGUAGAAUCAAUGAUUGGGGUGAAGUCGUAACAAGGUAUC
rnacentral:rRNA from 1 species